rnacentral:misc_RNA from 1 species
GGGUCUUCUAGUCCAUCUUCUUCAAAUAUCUUCAAAUCUCGCGACACUUGAUUGUGUAUGACUCAGAUGAAAGAGUUUCGAGCCUUCACGGCUCCUCCGAAUGCAAGAAAAAGUCCACAGGACUUGGAUACCAUUUACAUGCUGUUCGAAGGCAGCAACCGGGACGAUGUGAGAAGGAGGGAGGCGAUGACUCGGACACAGCACCUUAC